rnacentral:tRNA from 1 species
GGGCCGGUAGAUUAGCCCGGAAGAUCGUCUGGUUUGCAUCCAGAAGGCCGCGAGUUCAAAUCUCGCCCGGUCCACCA